AGAGUUUGAUCCUGGCUCAGAUGAACGUUGGGAGAAGAAGGAGAGUGCAAGUCGAACGAAUCCCCUCUGGGUAACAGGGGGGGGGGAAGUGGCGAAAGGGGCAGUAAUGCAUGGGUAACUUGCCCCGGAGUUCGGGAUAGCCUUCCUAACGGAUGGGUAAUACCGAAUGCCGUACCCUGGGGGCAUCCUCGGGGUACGAAAGUUCCGACGCUCCGGGAGGGGUCCAUGUGGUAUUAGCUAGUUGGUGGGGUAACGGCCCACCAAGGCCAAGAUGCCUAGCAGGUGUGAGAGCACGACCUGCGUCACUGGCACUGGGACACUGGCCAGACUCCUACGGGAGGCUGCAGUCGAGGAUCUUCGGCAAUGGGCGAAAGCCUGAUUUAGCGACGCCGCGUGUGCGAUGAAGGCCUUCUGGUUGUAAAGCACUGUCCAGGGGGAGAAAAGCCCGCAAGGGUUUGAUCGACCUCUGGAGGAAGCUCGGGCUAAGUUCGUGCCAGCAGCCGCGGUAAGACGAACCGAGCGAACGUUAUUCGGAAUCACUGGGCUUAAAGGGUGCGUAGGCGGGCACGCGAGUCAGGGGUG
rnacentral:rRNA from 1 species